GCAAACUUGGUCAUUUAGAGGAAGUAAAAGUCGUAACAAGGUUUCCGUAGGUGAACCUGCGGAAGGAUCAUUACCGAGUUAGGGUACCCCGCGUGCCCGACCUCCCAACCCUUUGCUUACUUGACCUUUUGUUGCUUCGGCAGGCCCGCCUCCGGGCCGCCGGGAGUCGGUGACACGCUCCUGGUCAGUCUCGCCUGCCGACGGCCCCAAAUCUUCAAAAACUCUUGUUUAAACGUGUCGUCUGAGUACUUUUGUCUCAAAGCAAAAAAAAAAAAAUUGUAAACAAAACUUUCAACAACGGAUCUCUUGGUUCUGGCAUCGAUGAAGAACGCAGC
rnacentral:misc_RNA from 1 species